AUAUGGUCGGCCUCGGUAGCCUUCCUGAGGUAACAUGUCUUACUUUCUGAGAUAGUGUCUCUCGCUGGCCUGGAGUUUACCAAGUAGGCUAGUUUGACUGGCCAGAAGAGAACUGCCCGUCUCUACCUCUCCGGUGUUGACAUUACCAGCAAUGCCACCAUACCCAGCUUUAGAUUCCUAUGCUUGUAAGUGAAGUCUUCCCUGACUGAGCUGUCUCCUUAGCCCCGUUCACACACACACGCACACGCACACACACUCACUCACACACACACACGCGCGCACACACACACACACUCACACAUACACACUCACACACACACAUACACACACACACAUACACGCACACACGCACACACGCACACACGCACACACACACACACACACUCACACACACACACACCUACUUAUAGCUCUGCCUCAAAUCUGAAACUGCAUAGAGAAGAAACUCCGCUGCAGGGAUGUUACAGUCCAGCAGCCACUGUGUGCUAAGUGCCCUUCACACCCCAGCUCUUUUAAUCUUACACACACACAUGCCCUGCACACCGCACUUGCUGUGGGGAUCUUUAGUAAUCUAGAGAAAGGAAACAGGAAAGAGAAUCUACUGGAGGCUGCGCAGCUAGCAAGCCCAGCCCAGGUUCAGGUCAGUCUCAAACCUGGCAAGACUUCUGAUGGCAAAACUCGCUGCUUAUAGGACUUUAUGUGGCCUAGAGUUGUGCCCAGCUGUACUUUGAUAAGCUUGUAGCUUACAAGUGACAAAGUUUCCUCGAGCCUCUGUUUCCUCAUCAGUAAGGUGGAAGCAGCCCUAUCACUGGGGUGAUGGUGAAGCCCAGUGAAAGCAAGACUCAGGUAGCCUCCCCAAGACCAGGGCUGCAGGACCGCACACAGGACCGCACGGAAAUCAUCACAGUACAGCAAGGUCAGAGCUGGAGGAAGUAAUUCAGCAUGGGGUAGGAGGGAGUGCCUUAGACAUGCCAGGAGGUAAGCCGUGCUCCAGAGCGUGGAAGAAGUGCAUAGAGCAAUUCUGAUGCCCUUGACUCUGUCUCCCGAGGGCCGAGCACACAGGCAUGUGCACUACAAAUGGCUUAUAUGACACUGGUGAGGUACCCCAGGGCUUCUGGGAUGCUAAGCGAGCACUCUACUCACUGAGCUGCAUUCUCAGUGUGCUUUCUGUCAUCUCUGGGUUUCUUACAGUGCCUGACACAGUGGAUAGUUAUGCUACUGUGUUAUUAAGGGAUAAUAACAAGGAAAAGUCCUGCGGGUAGGCACAGCUUCUGUGACUAAGUUGUCACAUAUACCGAAUUGGACUUCCUCUAAAGACUCCCCAUGCUCCUUUAGAACUGGAGGUGAAUAGGGACACAGGCAGGACACUGACCCAUGGCUGAGCACAUUCUGGCCUCACUCCACACACUGCAGAGAUGGGGAGAGGGACAGAGGCGUGUCAAGGGAGCAGCAGCAGAGGCAAGAACAUUUUGGAGUGCACAAGUAUUGCUUCUUUCUGAUUGGAUAGCUUAGGUCAUGCGCCCAUACAAGACCCAGAAGCAGUGGUAGAAGUCGCCACUUAGCUCAUCCCACGUAUGUAUGGCCCUUCUCUAGCCCAGCAUGGGCUCACGCUCCCCAGGGCCAAGGGUCUAACUGAGUCAGAGGUCUGGAAAGAAGGAGAGAACAAGGAUGCUGGGCAGACAAUAUCCUCUUCAUCUCAGCCACAUGAAUGUCAAAUUGAUGUCAAGGCUGUGGUAGGUACCAAGAUGCUGGGAGUAUGUCCUGUGCAGCUCCUGGGCUGAGUGAACUUAGACUGAACUUCGUUCAGCAGAGAAAUAGCCCUGUUCUCAGGAGCCACUUUGGUCCCUCCUGAAAAGUGACAAUAGCAAUCGAACAAAUUAGCAUGCCACUUGAGAGUUCAAGGAGCUAAAACACUUUCUCUAGCUCCGGCUAGCACAGUGGAGGCUACCUGAGACCUGGCUGCAGGUAACUUCCUGGAUGCACCUCCCACCAGCAGAUACCUGAUACCAGGCCCUGUGGGCCUGCUCUCGGGGAGCCCUGAGGGGGAGACAAAUAGAAAAG
rnacentral:lncRNA from 1 species